rnacentral:rRNA from 1 species
GAUGAACGCUGGCGGCGUGCCUAAUACAUGCAAGUCGAGCGAACGGACGAGAAGCUUGCUUCUCUGAUGUUAGCGGCGGACGGGUGAGUAACACGUGGAUAACCUGCCUAUAAGACUGGGAUAACUUCGGGAAACCGGAGCUAAUACCGGAUAAUAUUUUGAACCGCAUGGUUCAAAAGUGAAAGACGGUCUUGCUGUCACUUAUAGAUGGAUCCGCGCUGCAUUAGCUAGUUGGUAAGGUAACGGCUUACCAAGGCAACGAUGCAUAGCCGACCUGAGAGGGUGAUCGGCCACACUGGAGCUGAGACACGGUCCAGACUCCUACGGGAGGCAGCAGUAGGGAAUCUUCCGCGAUGGGCGAAAGCCUGACGGAGCAACGCCGCGUGAGUGAUGAAGGUCUUCGGAUCGUAAAACUCUGUUAUUAGGGAAGAACAUAUGUGUAAGUAACUGUGCACAUCUUGACGGUACCUAAUCAGAAAGCCACGGCUAACUACGUG